GAGUGGUGUUUGGUUUGUUACGUGUGGUUGGCUGCGGCGUUUGCAACAACUUCCAUGCUUUCAGACCUCUUCAGUUGUGCGGCAAGGCUUGUAUCGCCUUGAGCGUAUUGUGGGUUUUCUGUGUUGGCUACCUAAUCAAUGGUAUCGGUUGGAUUGAUCAAUGUUUCAUUUCGUCUACCGUCGCAUUCGCGGCGUGAGAUGAACCUUGAUGCGGUCUCUUUGAUCCACCUCGUCGAAGCGCAUGCUUUGGCGUUGUGGCACAUUGAGCAUUGCUUGGUCUCUUGUAUACGGAACAUAUAGUGGGCAUGGAUCUAACGAUUCUCGUUUGCCCUCAUAUUAGCGUAACGCUUCUCUUACACGACUUGCNCCACGUUUUAGCUCGUAC
rnacentral:misc_RNA from 1 species